AAUGACUCUAGUCAAGAGCUAUAUCCUGGGUGUAAGAAGUUCUCAAUACUACGUUUCAUAAUUAGACUACUUCAUGUCAAAUUGCUUGGUGGAUGGUCAGAUAAAAGUUUUAACCUGCUGCUAGAUCUACUUAAUGAUGCUUUUCCUGAAGGGUCCUCACUAGCCAAGAACUAUAACGAAGCUAAGAAAUUGGUGAAAUGCCUAGGACUUGGAUAUGUUAGUAUUCAUGCAUGUGAACAUGAUUGCAUCCUCUUCUGGAAAAACCAUGCUAAGGCUGAUGUUUGUCCAAUAUGCAAUACAUCACAAUGGAAAUCUGAAAAGAAGAGUCUAGAUGGAAAACGUGUCCACAAGGUACCUAGGAAGGUUCUCCGUUAUUUUCCAAUAAAGAAAAGGCUGCAAAGGUUGUUUAUGUGUUCCAAAAUAGCAGCUCUCACUAGAUGGCAUGAUGAAGGGCGUACAAAAGAUGGUUUGAGCAGGCAUCCAGCUGAUUCUGCUCAAUGGAAGUAUUUUGAUGAGUUGCAUGAGGACUUUGCUAAGGACAGCCGCCAUUUUAGGCUUGGAUAUGGAGCAGAUGGUUUUAAUCCUUUUAGAUCCAAUAAUGUGAAUUGUAGUGUUUGGCCUAUUAUCUUGAUUCCUUAUAACUUCCCUCCUUGGAUGUGCAUGAAGCAAUCAAAUUUUUUUCUCACAUUGUUGAUUCCUGGUAAACAUGCUCCUGGUAGUGAUAUGGAUGUUUAUCUAGAGCCGUUAAUUGAUGAUAUGGUAGAUAUGUUUCUUCAUGGUGUCAGAACAUACGAUGCUUCAAAAGAAGAGUUCUUUAAUUUGAAGGCUGCCAUAUUAUGGACCAUUCAUGAUUUCCCGGGCCUAGGGUAUACAGCUGGUUGUACCACUUCUGGUGAAGGAGCUUGUCCUGAAUGUCAUUCUGACACAUGUUCUCUUAGGUUGAAUAAUGGUAGCAAGACAUGCUGCAUGGGGCAUCACAGGUUCUUACAUGAAGACCACCCCUUUAGGUCCAAUACCCAUUCUUUUGAUGGCAUUGCUGAGCAUAGGCCAGCGCCAAUUCCUCUCUCUGGAUCAAAAAUUGUUGCUCAGACGGAAGAUAUGCAUACAGUUUUUGGGAAGGAUCCUUCCGGGAAGAACAAAACCAAGAGGAAGCGCAAGGAUGAUGAGUCGUUAAUAGUUUGGAAAAGGAAGUCUAUUUUUUUCAGGCUGCCAUAUUGGGAGAUCUUGUUGCUGCGUCACAACUUAGACGUCAUGCACAUAGAAAAAAAUGUAUGUGAGAACAUAAUCAACACAUUGUUGUGCAUUGAUGGGAAAUCUAAGGACAAUCUGAACUCUCGUUUGGACCUUCAAGCUCUAAACAUUAGAAGUGACCUUCAUCCUGUUGAACUUGAAGUAGAAGAUAAAUUUUACUUACCUCCAGCACCUUAUGAAAUGAAUGUUUCCCAACAGAGAUUAUUUUGUGGUGUAUUUAAAGGAGCUAGGUUCCCUUACGGGUUAGCAGCUGAUAUACAUGGUAAUGUGCAUGUCAAGGAAAGGAAAAUAAUCGGGCUAAAGAGCCAUGACAACCACAUCUUGAUGCAACAUUUGCUACCACUUGCUGUGAGAAGGCUAUUGCCCGAAAAAGUUAGUGCAGCACUGAUUCGUGUUAGCAAUUUUUUCAAGCAGAUUUACUCACAUGUUAUUUCUAUUAGUGAUAUGGAAAAACUAGAGGCUGAAAUAGCUGAGACCUUGAGCAUUCUUGAGACUAUAUUCCCCCCAUCAUUUUUUGAUAUCAUGGUACACUUGAUGGUGCAUCUUCCAGCCCAAGCAAAAAUAGUUGGUCCAGUGCAUUUUCGCAACAUGUUUCCUAUAGAAAGGUAUUUGUGCCGGUGUAAGGGCUUUGUUCAUACUAGAAGUCGUCCAGAGGGAUCUAUUGCCGAGAGCUAUUUAUUUGAUGAGACUCUUACGUACUGUUCUCGGUAUAUAAAAGGCGAAACUCAGUUUAAUCAAGGUUUGGGUAUGGAAACUAGUAGUACCACACCUUUCUUC
rnacentral:rRNA from 1 species